UUGCCCUAGUAACGGCGAGUGAAGCGGCAACAGCUCAAAUUUGAAAGCUGGCCUUCGGGUCCGCAUUGUAAUUUGUAGAGGAUGCUUUGGGUGAAACGCCAGUCUAAGUUCCUUGGAACAGGACGUCAUAGAGGGUGAGAAUCCCGUAUGUGACUGGAAAUGUUAACCUAUGUAAAGCUCCUUCGACGAGUCGAGUUGUUUGGGAAUGCAGCUCUAAAUGGGAGGUAAAUUUCUUCUAAAGCUAAAUAUUGGCGAGAGACCGAUAGCGCACAAGUAGAGUGAUCGAAAGAUGAAAAGCACUUUGGAAAGAGAGUUAAAAAGCACGUGAAAUUGUUGAAAGGGAAGCGCUUGCAAUCAGACUUGUUUAAACUGUUCGGCCGGUCUUCUGACCGGUUUACUCAGUUUGGACAGGCCAGCAUCAGUUUCGGCGGCCGGAUAAAGGCUCUGGGAAUGUGGCCUUCACUUCGGUGAAGGUGUUAUAGCCCAGGGUGUAAUACGGCCAGCCGGGACUGAGGUCCGCGCUUCGGCUAGGAUGCUGGCGUAAUGGUUGUAAGCGACCCGUCUUGAA
rnacentral:rRNA from 1 species